GACGAACGCUGGCGGCGUGCUUAACACAUGCAAGUCGAACGGAAAGGCUCCAGCUUGCUGGCGUACUCGAGUGGCGAACGGGUGAGUAACACGUGGGUAAUCUGCCCUGCACUCUGGGAUAAGCCUGGGAAACUGGGUCUAAUACUGGAUAUGACCUUUCUCCUUUUGGGGUUUGGUGGAAAGUUUUUCGGUGUAGGAUGAGCCCGCGGCCUAUCAGCUUGUUGGUGGGGUGAUGGCCUACCAAGGCGACGACGGGUAGCCGGCCUGAGAGGGUGAUCGGCCACAUUGGGACUGAGAUACGGCCCAGACUCCUACGGGAGGCAGCAGUGGGGAAUAUUGCACAAUGGGCGGAAGCCUGAUGCAGCGACGCCGCGUGAGGGAUGACGGCCUUCGGGUUGUAAACCUCUUUCAGCAGGGACGAAGCGUAAGUGACGGUACCUGCAGAAGAAGCACCGGCUAACUAUGUG
rnacentral:rRNA from 1 species